rnacentral:rRNA from 1 species
CCCCCAGCAAGUCCGCUCCGGCGGCACCAAGGUUGACCUCGGAUCAGGUAGGAAUACCCGCUGAACUUAAGCAUAUCAAUAAGCGGAGGAAAAGAAACCAACAGGGAUUGCCCUAGUAACGGCGAGUGAAGCGGCAACAGCUCAAAUUUGAAAUCUGGUCCUUUCAGGGCCCGAGUUGUAAUUUGCAGAGGAUGCUUCGGGUACGGGUGCCUACUGAGUUCCCUGGAACGGGACGCCAUAGAGGGUGAGAGCCCCGUCUAGUAGGAUACCCAGCCCAUGUGAAGCUCCCUCGACGAGUCGAGUAGUUUGGGAAUGCUGCUCUAAUGGGAGGUAUACUCCUUCCAAGGCUAAAUACCGGCUGGAGACCGAUAGCGCACAAGUAGAGUGAUCGAAAGAUGAAAAGCACUUUGAAAAGAGAGUCAAAUAGCACGUGAAAUUGUUGAAAGGGAAGCGCUCGCUACCAGACUUGAGUUAGGCGGUUCAACCGGGGCCACGCCCCGGGGCACUCCACCUGCUCAGGCCAGCAUCAGCUUUCCGUCGGGGGCAAAGGCGUCGGGAAUGUGGCUCUCCUCCGGGAGAGUGUUAUAGCCCGGCGUGUCAUACCCUUCGGGGGGCUGAGGUACGCGCUUCUGCAAGGAUGCUGGCGUAAUGGUAGCUAGUGACCCGUCUUGAAACACGGACCAAGGAGUCAACCUUAUGUGCGAGUGCCCGGGCGUAAAACCCCAGCGCGGAAUGAAAGUGAACGUAGGUGAGAGCUUCGGCGCAUCACCGACCGAUCCUGAUGUCCUCGGACGGAUUUGAGUGAGAGCAUAUAGGGUUGGACCCGAAAGAAGAUGAACUAUGCGUGUGUAGGGUGAAGCCAGAGGAAACUCUGGUGGAGGCUCGCAGCGGUUCUGACGUGCAAAUCGAUCGUCAAACAUGCGCAUGGGGGCGAAAGACUAAUCGAAUCUUCUGGUAGCUGGUUUCCG